UUUCUUCUUCUUCUUCCACAGAAAAUGGCAGCAAAAAUGGGGGUUUUGAGAGCUUAAAAUUUCAGCCACUUAGUUCCCUUGCAAGUAAGUGAUUUUGAUGGUCAUUUUUGAUAAUUUUUGUAUUUUUAGAACCCUUGUAGCUUAAUCUAACUAAUGAGGGGAUUAUUUUGCAAAAUGGUUGAAAGUAUAAGGUUUUUCCAUGUGAAUAUUUAUGUUUUUUACUAAAUUUUUAUGGAAUAAAAUAAGUCAUGGUUGUGUAAUAAACAACUUUUGUGAAAGGAUUUUCAUGAAAAAACACCUAAAUGGACCUUUUUGUAAAGGUUGAUAAAAAGGUGAUAAGUAUGUGAAAUGAAUGAAAUUGUCGGCUGCUAUAAGCCUAAAAUAAAUUCGGCUAGGCUUGAUUAAUGAAGAAAUUCGAUAAAAAUUAAUUUACGACCUUUGGGGUAAAAUCGUAAUUUUUGUGAAAGUUUAAGGGCAAAAUGGUCGUUUUGUCAAAGUAUAAAUUAUGGAAUGUAUUGGUUAAUGUGAUGAUUAAAGUAGUAAAUUUUAUCAUUUUAGAUCAAGGAACCGAGAUUUGGGCUUAAAUCGAAAAGUAUGAGGUUAUGGAUUAAAAUGGCGUAAUUAGCCGAAAUUGCAUUCGAGGUAAGUCCGUGUGAUUAAAUAAGCAUGAUAUCCAUGUUAUUGUUAAUAUACUUGAAAUCUAUCUAGUUAUGAUUGUAUUGAAUUUUAUGUUGAUGAUAUUGUAUAUGAGAAAGUGAUGCCAAAUGUUAAUAACAUUUAUGUGAUGAUUGAAUGCUUAAAAAUUUGAUGGAAUAUGAUAUUCCAUUGAAACGAGUAAGUUGUGCGUAAAUAUUACAACUUUAUCGUUAUUAUGUAUUGAAUGGUUAAUUUUACAUGAAUUAUUUGAAUAUGGCUAUGAGAAAUGUAUGAUGAGACUUAACGUUAUAAACGCC
rnacentral:lncRNA from 1 species